rnacentral:rRNA from 1 species
GAUGAACGCUGGCGGCGUGCCUAAUACAUGCAAGUCGAGCGAUCAGGCGAUUCGGGGGAUCCGUGCGGCGUAAGGGUGAGUAAGACGUGGAUGAGUAGCUAAGCACCUUGGGAUAAGGGUGGGAAAUUGGGAAUAAUAACGGAAAUGAGCUUCAAACGCAUGGCGGGAGGUGUAAAGAGUUAUAGGUGCAGGUUGGGCCUGCGGUGUAUUAGCUUGCUGGGAGGGAAAUGGCUGAUAAAGGCAAGGCAUGGUAGACGAACUGAGAGGGUGAUAGCCGACACUGGAACUGGAACACGGUCCAUACUCCUACGGGAGGCAGCAGUAGGGAACCGUCCGCAAUGGGCGAAAGCAUGACGGAGCAACGCCGAGCGAGUGACGAAGGUCUUCGGAUCGUAAAACCGGGUUAUGAGGGAAGAACAACCGUGUAAGUAACUGUGCACGUCUUGACGGUACCUAAUCAGAAAGCCACGGCUAACUACGUG